UAAAAAGUUUUUUUUUUUUUUUUGAGAAAAAGGUAGCACGCUACCUGCUUCAUUCAUUAAUAAAAUGAAAUUAGCUACAUAGAGUGAGACAGCCAGGGUUUCUAAAGAAGAAGCGAGAAAAAAGAAGGAAAAAUACAAAAAAGAAAAAGAAAAGGAAUCAGAUCAGACGUCACCUAGCUCUACAGGCCUCGGCCCACUCUUUUGCCAACAUGCCAAUAAGACUAGUUGUUCGAGAAAUAUUGGUGGGCUCUUUUGCCAACACGCUAAAAACAAAUUUUAUUUUUACCGUGGGACCUUUUAGUUUG
rnacentral:lncRNA from 1 species